AUGUUUUUACUUGCAACACAGUCAUGGACUACCUUUGCAAGCAUGGAAGAACGAAAGAAGCUGCAGAACUUUUUUAUUCCAUGGCUGAGAAGGGCCAUAAACCUAAUAUGGUCUCACUCUAUUAUGCUUUAUGGGUAUGCUAAAGAAGGAUCCCUUGUUGAAAUGACUGAUCUCUGUGAGCUGAUGGCAAGAGACGGUAUUGUACCCAAUCUCCAUUGUUUCAGCAUAUUGAUUAAUGCAUAUGCUAAGUGUGGAAUGAUGGAUGUGGCUAUACUUUUCUUCAAAGACAUGUUGAAGCAGGGAGUGAACCCUGAUGAAGUCACAUAUUUAGCUGUGAUAGCCGGGUAUUGCAGAGUGGGCAUGAUGGAUGAUGCUAUGGAAAAAUUCAAUGAGAUGAUUGAUAUGGGAGUACCACAUAACACAACUGUUUACAGGUGCAUGAUUCAGGGUUACUUAAAUCAUGGUGAUUUCUUGAAAGCAAAGGAAUUGAUUACUGAAAUGAAGACCAAGGGUAUCCAUCCUAGACCACGGAAAAGCCAAAGAAUUGAUCCAGGGUACCUCAUGACACAACUGUUUACAGGUGCAUGA
rnacentral:rRNA from 1 species